GAUGAACGCUGGCGGCGUGCCUAAUACAUGCAAGUCGAGCGAACAGAUGAGGAGCUUGCUCCUCUGACGUUAGCGGCGGACGGGUGAGUAACACGUGGAUAACCUACCUAUAAGACUGGGAUAACUUCGGGAAACCGGAGCUAAUACCGGAUAAUAUAUUGAACCGCAUGGUUCAAUAGUGAAAGACGGUUUUGCUGUCACUUAUAGAUGGAUCCGCGCCGCAUUAGCUAGUUGGUAAGGUAACGGCUUACCAAGGCAACGAUGCGUAGCCGACCUGAGAGGGUGAUCGGCCACACUGGAACUGAGACACGGUCCAGACUCCUACGGGAGGCAGCAGUAGGGAAUCUUCCGCAAUGGGCGAAAGCCUGACGGAGCAACGCCGCGUGAGUGAUGAAGGUCUUCGGAUCGUAAAACUCUGUUAUUAGGGAAGAACAAAUGUGUAAGUAACUAUGCACGUCUUGACGGUACCUAUUCAGAAAGCCACGGCUAACUACGU
rnacentral:rRNA from 1 species